rnacentral:misc_RNA from 1 species
AUAUAUAAAUCAAGCCUUCUCUUGUUGAGAGUGGUUUUGGAUGUGGGGGUUUGCUGGCCUCUUAAAAAGGGUUCAGCUCCUCUGAAAUGCAUUAGCAGAACAACCUGUCCAUUGGUGUGAUAACUAUCUAUGCCAUUGAAUGUGAGGGGCAGUUCAGCUUUCUAACAGUCCUUGGACAAUUCUUCAUUA